GCUCUUAUAGCUCAGUAGGUAGAGCGCAUCCUUGGUAAGGAUGAGGUCACCGGUCCGACUCCGGUUAAGAGCU
rnacentral:tRNA from 1 species